AAACCAACAGGGAUUGCCUUAGUAGCGGCGAGUGAAGCGGCAAAAGCUCAAAUUUGAAAUCUGGUACUUUCAGUAUCCGAGUUGUAAUUUGUAGAAGCAACUUUGGUGAUGGUCUUUGCAUAAGUUCCUUGGAAUAGGACGUCAUAGAGGGUGAGAAUCCCGUAUAUGGUGAAGAACCCACACUAUGUAAAGUGCUUUCGAAGAGUCGAGUUGUUUGGGAAUGCAGCUCAAAGUGGGUGGUAAAUUCCAUCUAAAGCUAAAUAUUGGCGAGAGACCGAUAGCGAACAAGUACUGUGAAGGAAAGAUGAAAAGAACUUUGAAAAGAGAGUGAAAAAGUACGUGAAAUUGUUGAAAGGGAAGGGAUCUAAAUCAGACAUGGUAUUUUGUGAUCAACAGUCUUUCGGGAUUGUGCACUCGCAUUUUACUAGGCCAGCAUCGGUUAGAAGGGGGUAAAAAAGAUUUUGGAAUGUGGCUCCUCGGAGUGUUAUAGCCAAAGUUAAUUGCCCCAUUUCUGACCGAGGACCGCGUCUUUUGACUAGGAUGCUGGCGUAAUG
rnacentral:rRNA from 1 species